rnacentral:rRNA from 1 species
UACGUAGGGUGCAAGCGUUGUCCGGAAUUAUUGGGCGUAAAGAGCGUGUAGGCGGCUAGAUAGGUCCGUUGUGAAAACUCGAGGCUCAACCUCGAGACGUCGAUGGAAACCAUCUGGCUAGAGUCCGGAAGAGGAGAGUGGAAUUCCUGGUGUAGCGGUGAAAUGCGCAGAUAUCAGGAGGAACACCGAUGGCGAAGGCAGGUCUCUGGGCCAUAACUGACGCUGAGAAGCGAAAGCAUGGGGAGCGAACAGG